rnacentral:rRNA from 1 species
AUUGAACGCUGGCGGCAUGCCUUACACAUGCAAGUCGAACGGUAACAGGUCUUCGGAUGCUGACGAGUGGCGAACGGGUGAGUAAUACAUCGGAACGUGCCCGAUCGUGGGGGAUAACGAAGCGAAAGCUCUGCUAAUACCGCAUACGAUCUAAGGAUGAAAGCAGGGGACCGCAAGGCCUUGCGCGAACGGAGCGGCCGAUGGCAGAUUAGGGAGUUGGUGGGAUAAAAGCUUACCAAGCCGACGAUCUGUAGCUGGUCUGAGAGGACGACCAGCCACACUGGGACUGGGACACGGCCCAGACUCCUACGGGAGGCAGCAGUGGGGAAUUUUGGACAAUGGGCGAAAGCCUGAUCUAGCCAUGCCGCGUGCAGGAUGAAGGCCUUCGGGUUGUAAACUGCUUUUGUACGGAACGAAAAGACUCUGGUUAAUACCUGGGGUCCAUGACGGUACCGUAAGAAUAAGCACCGGCUAACUACGUGCCAGCCGCCGCAGUAA